rnacentral:rRNA from 1 species
GAUGAACGCUGGCGGCGUGCUUAACACAUGCAAGUCGAACGAUGAAGCCCAGCUUGCUGGGUGGAUUAGUGGCGAACGGGUGAGUAACACGUGAGUAACCUGCCCUUGACUCUGGGAUAAGCCUGGGAAACUGGGUCUAAUACUGGAUAUGACUUCUCAUCGCAUGGUGGGGGGUGGAAAGAUUUAUUGGUCUUGGAUGGACUCGCGGCCUUUCAGCUUGUUGGUGAGGUAAUGGCUCACCAAGGCGACGACGGGUAGCCGGCCUGAGAGGGUGACCGGCCACACUGGGACUGAGACACGGCCCAGACUCCUACGGGAGGCAGCAGUGGGGAAUAUUGCACAAUGGGCGCAAGCCUGAUGCAGCGACGCCGCGUGAGGGAUGACGGCCUUCGGGUUGUAAACCUCUUUCAGUAGGGAAGAAGCGAGAGUGACGGUACCUGCAGAAGAAGCGCCGGCUAACUACGUG